rnacentral:lncRNA from 1 species
UGAAAAGAGCUAUAUGUGCUGUAUCAUAUCAUAUAUCAUAUCAUAUUUCAUUUUUUACAGGUGCUCCUGGGCCAGAUGGUGUUAAAGGAAUUCGAGGUAAUUUUAAGGCUAAGUGUUGGGAAAAUAUUAGUCUGUCUUUCUUUUCAAGCAUGCAUUCUUUAAAUUUCUCUUUCAUUUAAAUUAAAGGGGAUCAAGGUCCGAUUGGGUUGCCUGGAGCUCGGGGACCCUCAGGGCCUCCUGGAGAUGCAGGAAUACCAGGUGCACCAGGACUCCAAGGACCACCAGGUUUGCCAGGUACUCCGGGCCAGCCAGGAGCUAAAGGUGAGCCUGGUGAGCCCGGAAGAGUCAUUUCUGCAGGUGAGGGAACACAAAUGAUAAUUAGUUAGUAGUAAUAAUGAUAAUAUUAUUAAUCUGGCUCAUUUGAUGGUGACAUAAUUCAUCAUCUUAUCACUCCUUGUAGGCGCUAAUACUAACACUGUGGGUGUACCUGGACCCCCUGGAUCUCCUGGAGCUCCGGGUCCUGCUGGACCAUCUGGACUAUCAGGUGUCAUGAAGUUCAUCAUGGAUUUAAUAUGAAAUGAAAAAAAUCAGUUAAACAGCAGU